CCUACGGGGGGCUGCAGUGGGGAAUAUUGGACAAUGGGCGAAAGCCUGAUCCAGCCAUGCCGCGUGUGUGAAGAAGGCCUUCGGGUUGUAAAGCACUUUCAGUGGGGAAGAAAGCCUUGGGGCUAAUACCCUCGAGGAAGGACAUCACCCACAGAAGAAGCACCGGCUAACUCCGUGCCAAGCAGCCGCGGUAAUACGGAGGGUGCGAGCGUUAAUCGGAAUUACUGGGCGUAAAGCGCGCGUAGGCGGUCUGAUAAGCCGGUUGUGAAAGCCCCGGGCUCAACCUGGGAACGGCAUCCGGAACUGUCAGGCUAGAGGGCAGGAGAGGAAGGUAGAAUUCCCGGUGUAGCGGUGAAAUGCGUAGAGAGCGGGAGGAAUACCAGUGGCGAAGGCGGCCUUCUGGACUGACACUGACGCUGAGGUGCGAAAGCGUGGGUAGCAAACAGGAUUAGAUACCCGGGUAGUC
rnacentral:rRNA from 1 species